rnacentral:rRNA from 1 species
UAAGGAAUAUUGGUCAAUGGGCGCAAGCCUGAACCAGCCACGCCGCGUGAAGGAAGAAGGCCCUACGGGUUGUAAACUUCUUUUGUUAGGGAAGAAACACUUCUACGUGUAGAAGACUGACGGUACCUGACGAAUAAGGAUCGGCUAACUCCGUGCCAGCAGCCGCGGUAAUACGGAGGAUCCAAGCGUUAUCCGGAUUUAUUGGGUUUAAAGGGUGCGUAGGCGGGCUAUUAAGUCAGAGGUGAAAUCC